rnacentral:sRNA from 1 species
AUUUUCCGGUUAGCCUUCGGGGUGUCCGCGUGAGAAUUGGCUAUAUCCUGGAGCGAGUGCUGGGAGGUGCUAGUCCGCCGCGCCUUAUUCGAGAGGUGUCAGGGCUGGGAGACUAGGAUGUCGGACACGUGGAGCUCUAUCCAGGCCCACAAGAAGCAGCUGGACUCUCUGCGGGAGAGGCUGCAGCGGAGGCGGAAGCAGGACUCGGGGCACUUGGAUCUACGGAAUCCAGAGGCAGCAUUGUCUCCAACCUUCCGUAGUGACAGCCCAGUGCCUACUGCACCCACCUCUGGUGGCCCUAAGCCCAGCACAGCUUCAGCAGUUCCUGAAUUAGCUACAGAUCCUGAGUUAGAGAAGAAGUUGCUACACCACCUCUCUGAUCUGGCCUUAACAUUGCCCACUGAUGCUGUGUCCAUCUGUCUUGCCAUCUCCACGCCAGAUGCUCCUGCCACUCAAGAUGGGGUAGAAAGCCUCCUGCAGAAGUUUGCAGCUCAGGAGUUGAUUGAGGUAAAGCGAGGUCUCCUACAAGAUGAUGCACAUCCUACUCUUGUAACCUAUGCUGACCAUUCCAAGCUCUCUGCCAUGAUGGGUGCUGUGGCAGAAAAGAAGGGCCCUGGGGAGGUAGCAGGGACUGUAACAGGGCAGAAGCGGCGUGCAGAACAGGACUCAACUACAGUAGCUGCCUUUGCCAGUUCGUUAGUCUCUGGUCUGAACUCUUCAGCAUCGGAACCAGCAAAGGAGCCAGCCAAGAAAUCAAGGAAACAUGCUGCCUCAGAUGUUGAUCUGGAGAUAGAGAGCCUUCUGAACCAACAGUCCACUAAGGAACAACAGAGCAAGAAGGUCGGGCCCAAGUGCAAGAAUUCUGUGACUAUGGAACCAAGGAGGAGUGCAUGAAAGCCAGUGAUGCUGAUCGACCCUGUCGCAAGCUGCACUUCAGGUCUCUUGGAAGGGAAUGAGGUGGGAUGGGUUUGUCAG